AGGACGAACGCUGGCGGCGUGCUUAACACAUGCAAGUCGAGCGGAAAGGCCCUUCGGGGUACUCGAGCGGCGAACGGGUGAGUAACACGUGAGCAACCUGCCCUUAGCUCCGGGAUAGCUCCGGGAAACCGGAAUUAAUACCGGAUAUGACCUAGGCCGACAUCGGCUGUGGUGGAAAGUUUUUCGGCUGGGGAUGGACUCGCGGCCUAUCAGCUUGUUGGUGGGGUAAUGGCCUACCAAGGCGACGACGGGUAGCCGGCCUGAGAGGGCGACCGGCCACACUGGGACUGAGACACGGCCCAGACUCCUACGGGAGGCAGCAGUGGGGAAUCUUGCGCAAUGGGCGAAAGCCUGACGCAGCGACGCCGCGUGGGGAUGAAGGCCUUCGGGUUGUAAACCCCUUUCAGCAGGGACGAAGCGAAAGUGACGGUACCUGCAGAAGAGCGCCGGCUAACUACGUGCCAGCAGCCGC
rnacentral:rRNA from 1 species